rnacentral:rRNA from 1 species
GACGAACGCUGGCGGCGUGCCUAAUACAUGCAAGUAGAACGCAGUUGCGAACGGGUGAGUAACGCGUAGGUAACUGCCUGGUAGCGGGGGAUAACUAUUGGAAACGAUAGCUAAUACCGCAUACUACCAGAUGGACCUGCGUUGUAUUAGCUAGUUGGUGGGGUAACGGCUCACCAAGGGAACGAUACAUAGCCGACUUGAGAGGGUGAUAGGCAACACUGGGACUGAGACACGGCCCAGACUCCUACGGGAGGCAGCAGUAGGGAAUCUGCGGCAAUGGGGGGAACCCUGACCGAGCAACGCCGCGGGAGUGAAGAAGGUUUGCGGAUCGUAAAGCUCUGUUGUGAAGGAAGCGGUACUUAACCAUAAAGGGAGUGCUAACUACGUGCCAGCAGCAGAGGUAAUAC